rnacentral:rRNA from 1 species
UGGGGAACCUUGCACAAUGGGGGCAACCCUGAUGCAGCGACGCCGCGUGAGCGAUGAAGCCCUUCGGGGCGUAAAGCUCUUUCGACCGGAACGAUAAUGACGGUACCGGGAGAAGAAGCUGCGGCUAACUACGUGCCAGCAGCCGCGGUAAUACGUAGGCAGCAAGCGUUGUUCGGAGUUACUGGGCGUAAAGAGUGCGUAGGCGGUUUUCUAAGUUCGGUGUGAAAUCUCCCGGCUUAACUGGGAGGGUGCGCCGAAGACUAGGAAGCUGGAGUGUGGGAAAGGCAGGCGGAAUUCCUGGUGUAGCGGUGAAAUGCGUAGAUAUCAGGAGGAACACCGGCGGUGUAGACGGCUUGCUAGACCAUAACUGACGCUGAGGCACGAAAGCGUGGGUAGCAAACA